rnacentral:lncRNA from 1 species
UUCAAAAUGGGUAGGUAUAAUCUUUUCAAAAUGAGCAUGCAUCUUCCCUUUCUGAAUAAUGGCUACAUUAAUUUGUUUACUUGUUAAGCUUUCCCUUGAAUGACUUACUAUUGUUAUGCACUUAUGUUAAAUGAAUUUUUUAUCGAUUUUAUGGUAUCCUACAAUGGUUUACAGAUGGUGUGGCUCCUUACACUAAGAUGAUCGAGCAGAGAUCUAGAGUUCUCAACACAGAUCGAUGACGCCUCCUCGAGAUCCACUUCUUUGCAACCCCCAACCCUGGUAUAGUAUGAAAAAUCUACAAAUAAAUUAGAAGAAUAAGUAAUUAUUGAAUGCUUAUGUUUGUUGGUGUAGUAGUCCUUUUAGGUCCAGUCCUAGAGGAUGUUGCUUUACGCUUCCCUUUAUUUGAGUGACUUUCAUGCUAAAUAAUAUAGUAGAUAGAUCUAAUUAAUACUUCUAAGUGCAUAAUAUUUUGUGAAAACCUUACAUUUUAUAGUGUAGUUGCGUCUUACCUUAUGUGUGGGCCUGUAGGUGUGUGCCUCAUAACUUUUCUGUUUCCUAUAAAUUGUCCUUGUUUUGUUUCUUGUGUUUAGGUUUAGAUUUUUUUUCUUCAACCUACAGGCUCACUCAGGUUUUCCUUCAAUCUUCUACUUCGACCUCUAUAUUUUCAUGUGGAAUGUUCAAGAAAUAUCCAAGAGAAAUACAACUGCACUCAGCUUCAGAACAUGCACUGGAAAAAAUGUGUUGUUUUGGUUUGAAUGAUGACUCUACCUGUCGUAGAAGUGUGUUGUAGACGCGUAUCAGGAAUACAUGGACGUGGAUAUGCAUUAUGGUUGUAUUAUGGACGUGGAUAUGCUCGCCAUAUUAGCUAUAUCUUUUUCAUAUUUUUUUGAGUUUGUUCUCGGGGGUGGGUUGUGGCUGUUUGAUAACGGUCCAAUUUGGUUGUUUUAUGAUCUUGUCAAGAUAUUUCACACCAUACAGAUUAACUAUCACCAGUUUUAGUUAAUGACUCCUGAUAUUUAUCUCCCAAUGGUUAUCCGUCCACAUAGUUGCAUGCAACUACAAGUAUAAACUAAUUUUUUAACUUCCAUUUCUUGAUCAAUUGACAUCGGAAAGUUAGCACUAUUAACGCACUCUUUGUAGAGCACUGCUAAUACACUAAAAUCUAUUUGAAACAUAUUUUAUGGAACACAAAGAUUACUUUUUGAUAUAUGUGAAAUCUAAACUGCUCUACACUAGAAGCACAAAGAAACAUGAAAUGAAAUCCCCACCUUGGAACACGUAAAAACAGAUUUGAUGUUGAUCUAUGAUAUACCCCAUAAACUGCAAAAUUUAGCAUGCUGAUGAUGGAAUAAAGUUUUAAUCAAGGUGUUCUUUUCGAGCAAAAAAACAACAUUUUAUUCUUUUCCCUUGAUUGCAUGCCUCAUUAUUUAAUCACCGAUGAACAUAUGCUGCCUCAUGUUUCAAUCAUAUUUACUUCCUCUUCCAAGGAAUUUAUGGGCAGAUGUGUUCAAAUGCUUUUAUCUUUUGAACAUGUUUUCAUAUGAAUGAGCUGAAGUCAUUUCCCAUAAACUGUGGUGCUUUUACUUUUCAUUAAGGUUGCUCGACCAAUGAUGUUCAGUGAUUGUGUGCACUCCACAUGCAUCGCCUUUGUCGAGUAAGAAAAACAUGUUUUAUUUCUGAUUAUUUUCACAUAAUCUUCUUUCGGUUAUUUGAUUUUCUUUAGGUUUGUCCCCUUACGCUCCUCUUAUUCCCUCAAUAAAGUUUGGCCUUGUGGCAACUCACGGGGACAUACCUCGACAAUAGCUAUUUCAAAAAAGAGGCAAAAGGAGCGCAUGAUAUAUAUCAUUUCAUAUAUCAUGGCAGCAAAAACACAUUGUGGUGGUCGCCCUUAGCUAUGACGAUGUGCAUUCCUUAGCACCGGGCAUUGGCCUGGGAUGUCGUGGAGAGGAGAGGAGGGGGCGGGUGACACCGUGGAGGGAAGGAGAGAUGGCGGUGAGAGGAAGGUACGGGUUGAAUGACGUGGCAUCGAGGGGAGGCAGCAGCAAGAAGCCAUGGCGAGGAGAGAUUGUGGGGAUGAAGCCAUGACGAGGAGAGCAGGCCGGGAAAAUGAGAUGUGAGUGUGAAUGUUUUGCCGUGCAAUAGGAGUCAGAGAUUGAACUGUUUUGUUUAUUUUAAGAUGAGAAGAAAAAGAGCUGUUGUUUGCCUUUUUAGGGAAAAGCGAUUGUUUGUUGUGAGAAAAAGAUCACAUACUUUUUUAUACAGUGAAAAUAACACAUACCCUAGCAAGUUAUUUCCGGAGAAUAAUUACCAAAAACUAAUUACCAAGUGAGCUGCUUACUAAAAUUCAGAUGCGACUUACUCUACUAAAAAGCAGAUGCCACUCCCUCGGACUAAAUAUGUUGUAUAUGGGCUUAUUUUUUUUUAAUUUUAAUAUGUGUUUAUAUAUUCACUUUUGUAGAUUAGAGAUAAGAACUUUGGCUUCAGAUGAUGCUUUGAAACUGCAGUUGACAAAUCUUUAUGAUGGGCGGACUGAAAAUUCAUCGAGUUUUACACAAUUAGAAGAGAUAUAUACAAAUAGUGGUUCUUCUUUAUAUAUUUGUUGCACAUGACAAUAUAGAAGACAUAUUUUCAUAUAUGCUUAUUUUUGCAGAGUAUGAGAGAGAUGAAAAUGUAUGAUGUCGACAUUCAAAAGGAAUACUUAGACAAGGUUUCCAGCAUGGUGUUGUUGGAAGUGGCCUAAAAUUCACCGAGUUAUAUACGUGCAAUCAGAAUAAAAAGUAAAAGGCCCAUUGCAACACACGUGCAAUCAGAAAGAAACAAGAAACCACAUUCACUAAGUUUCUUUCUUCUUUGUGCCUAUUGUGCUAAAACAACAUUAAUGUCAACAAGAGAGUUGCAAAGGAAAAUGGAGCUUUAGAAGAUGUGCAUUAUGCAAGGCAAAAUCUUUGUUUCUGAAACUGUUAUCUCCUCGAGCCUCUUUGACUCAAAGGAGUUUCAAAUGAAUUUCAGAGGAUUGCAGUCCUUACAGUAAAUUUCCUAUAUUGCUUAUUUGAUUUGUGGGAAUCGUUUCAUUGUAACGAUGUAGCAGGAAAGUUUUGUAAGAAUCCAAACAUCCACCAAAAACUUUCUUUUACAAUCCGUUGAAACAAAUAAGUUCAUUUCUUUCUCAGUUCUUUGUUUUGCACAUGCACUUCUCUCUUUUCCCCAUGUUCUUAUUUAUGUGCACUACUCGCAAAAAGCUUGUUUGGCCACAUAUGCAAUCCUAAUACCCUGAUCUUUGUGCUCAACGGACUCUAUUUUCUCAAGAAAAUUCCACUUGACAAAUCACACCAAAACUGUGCUACUCUAGGUAAAGAAUUACUCAAUUGGUGCUCAAUACUUUAUGAGUUCAGUGAACUGUAAGAUAGAGUGACCGUCAUCAUCCGUGAGGCUACAGAGUGGACGGAUUGCACUCCUGCCCUCACUAUUGACUGGAUUAUGAGCCAAAGGAAGGCAAUGAGAUAUGGCCGGCUUCUCCUCAAGCGACACCACAAAAUCGUUACACUAGGGCUAUGUUCGUUGUGUCACAAAGUUAAAAUACCAGAGAAGUUCACUCUGAUAUUAAAUGACUCUUUGUAGAGAUGUUGCGACCACCUGCACGUUGAUGUUGAUGUUUACAUGCGGCUUUUGAGAUUAUUUUCAUUUUUUGCUAGCGUAAUAUUUCCUAACUGGAGUGUUACACAAUGAAAUUCGUUGAUGUUUCUGAUGGAGAGGAUUUGAAGAUGUUGGUUGUUGUUUCUUCAUGAUACACAUUAAAUUUUAGAAAGCAUUAAGCGAAGGCAUGAACCCUAGGUUCUUAAUAUUUUUCACGUUUGACAUUUUAUUGGAUACCAUGUUCCUAGAUUUCUUUGAUCAAUGCCAAUCAUAGUUCAAAAAAGCGCUAGGCGUUAAUUGUGCGUUUUGCCACCGCCUUGCACUUUACUGACCAAAGCGCAUGCUUAUGCGCAGUUAUGCACAGAUUAAGCGUAGUUAUGCGCAAUGCAUUUUGCCAACGCCUAGAGCCUAGGCGCGCUUAAGCGCUCGCUUAGGCGCGCCUUUUUUAACUAUGAUGCCAAUAGAAUGUUUAAUCACUUCUCGUAAUCAGAAUGUAUAGGCUACCUAGAUUCAAAUAGUCUAUUUUGUAUGUUUGUUCAGGGAAGUUGUUCAAGGUGCCCUAUUAUAGCCUUACAGGGCAUCUUUUUAAGACCACGCCUGCUCAUGCUCAAAUAAAGUUGUUUUCAUCCCUAAUUUUUUUACAACGCCUGAUUUUUGUGCCAAAAAUUUGGCAGCUAUUGUUGAUGCUCUAGGAGGGCAGACAGCCCCCUACUGUUGCUCUUGGCUCAGCCGCAAGGAUUCAAGUGAAUGAGGGACCUAAUCGAUGAUGGUGCUUUUCUGAAUCUUGUUUGUUGCAUAUGGGUGGAGAGAUAAUGUUCAUAUAUCUUGCUUCAGUUGAUGCACUGAUUCAUGUACAGUAUGGAGCACCCUGACAUCAUAGGUACCUACUUAUCUCCCACCUCUCUGUUUUUCUUCAGUUGUGAAGGUGUGCCAGUCUACAGUUUCGAGUUCUUCUCUUAUGUUUUGUGGAUCUUCCUAUUUUGAACCUUAACACGUCGUAUGCAUGUGUGCCAAUCUGAAAAUGCUACAUAUUGCAUGCUGCUAAAAUUACCAAAUACUAGGAUGUGUUGAGUACAGUGAAUGGAAGUUAGCAAAAUUAAUUAGUACUAUAAAGUGCAAGUUAUAUAUGUUAUUACAGUUAUAUCUAGCUACUCAACAAACAAUUUCCAAGACUGAUCUGUUCAUGCAUGUGCAGGUGUGCGCUUCACUGAAUGAAUCAUCAUGCAAUAUUCCUACUUCAAUAUAUACUCAAGGCAGCUACUCAUUUAUAUAUAAAAAUUCCCGCGUUGCUUAUUCUCCAUGGUGAUAGCCCAACCUCAUUUAUGAAAUAUUAGGGCCAACAGAGGGCUCUGACAAACUUAUGGAGAUGGUGGUGAUGUCCUCCUCUGGGGAUGGAGGGACGGAUCUAUGGGCAUCAUGAAGAAGCGCUUGGUUCCACAAGAGAACUGAGGUGCUUGUGGCGGGGUGCUCGAGGUGAGGUGAUGGCAGGGCU